AUACGUAGGGUGCAAGCGUUAAUCGGGAUUACUGGGCGUAAAGCGUGCGCAGGCGGUUUUGUACGACAGAGGUGCAAUCCCCGGGCUCCACCUGGGAACUGCCUUUGUGACUGCCAGGCUAGAGUACGGCAGAGGGGGGUGGAAUUUCGCGUGUAGCAGUGAAAUGCGUAGAUCUGCGGAGGAACCCCGAUGGCGAAGGCAAUCCCCUGGUCCUGCACUGACUCUCAUGCACGAACGCGUGGGGAGCAAACACUAUUAGAUACCCUGGUAGUCCACUCCCUAGACGAUUUCAACGGUUGGUUGGGGAUUUAUUUUCUCAGUAACGAAGCUAACGCGUUAAGUUGACCGCCUGGGCAGUACGGCCGCAAGGUUAAAACUCAAAGGAAUUUACGGGG
rnacentral:rRNA from 1 species